UCCCGCUAAAGCCGUGCCUCCUGGCACCAGAAAAGUUGGGCAAAGACCAUCUCGAUGGGCCUGCGCCCAGUCGCUCUCGCUCUGCACCUAUACAGCAACUUUGUUCCUCGGGCACAGCCCUUGGCUCUCAAUCGAUGCCUUCAAUUAAGGUUCUCAGUGGGUGCCUGCACAUUGUGUAAGACCGUUCCUGAAGAAGCUGAAGUCAACAGUUGAAGAAGCAGAAGCGGCACCUGGUGGUGACAAGGAUUUGCUACCUGACAUUCAGCUAGAUGACAACGAGGGGUGAUCCACAAUGGACUAGUCCCAACCCUUUGGGACUACGUAAUGUAGCCUCUCUGAUCAUCUGUACAGCAUGUCAAUGUUUUGCUGAAUAUAAAAACAGAACUGAGCUGUCUGGACCAAGAGGUGGACACAUUCAGUUCUCUAACAGGAGGAGUGCAGAGGCAAUCUUGCAUGUAGUGGUUCCAAUGAGUCCAGGGAGCUCAGAUAACAGGUUUUGGUGCACAUAGGUGUGCAUUAUUGUGCCAGGAGCCUUCAGUAUGACCAAGCAUAUGCAGUGUCUGUGAGGAGCUGAACAAACCUAGCUUCCAUCAGUAGGCCAGUUUCUUUCUCUUUCACCCUCAUCAAUGUUCGUCAGGAUCCAAUCCUUAAUUCUAUUUUAUAAUUAAUUAAAAUGCUCUGCUGUAGGUCGCAUUUUAGUUACUUCAGACAUCCAACUUCUUUCCCUCAGAGCCUUCUUAGAAGCUGAGAUUUUUUCUGCAUACAAAUAGCUGUGAGCCUCUUUUUGCAGGAGCAGCAAUGCAGACCAGUCUUCCUUCCUUCCUUCCUUCCUUCCUUCCUUCCUUCCUUCCUUCCUUCCUUCCUGCCUCCCUCCUUUCUCCUCUCUUCCAUAGAAGACUUCCUUGUCCCUUUAAGGAAUGAUAGUGAUUCAUUCCCCCAACUAUUAAAAAAACCCAAAUUUAACCCCAGAGAAACAUGGAAAACUGAAAUGAAACACUGUGGCCAUGUUUCUGAAACACAUAUUCUUGGAAGCUCAUGUGCAUACUGGAGUUUUAAAGCUCUUACCUCUAGAGGAAGAUGACCUUAUUCCAUAUACAUGCUGAUAUGCUCUUCGAGGCAUAAGACCUUCCAGUAUGAACUGAAAAAUCUUGCAAUUAGAUCUGUGUCAUUUUCUAAUCAUCUGCUGCUGUUGAUGAGCUAGAGGAAGGCAGGGCGGAUUGUUUCCCUGUCAUCAUAAAGGGCAUGCUUUUUGUAACUUCUCUAAUGUGUGGAGUAUCACUUGGUGAGGCCCAUUACUGUUGUCCAACCUGCCACAAGAAAGACCAAGGAAAUUACAACUACAUAGUUCAUACAGACAACAAGAAAGAAUUCCUAAUGUUUUAUAAUUAGAGAACAUGAAAAUGUGUACAUUAUAUCUGACAUAUUUUAAGCUGUGUUAAUAUUAUUAUAUAAUGAAUUAAAAAUGCAUUUUCAUGUUAGAACUUGGCGGACUUCAGAGAAGGUAUCACCAAAGGCAGUGAAUCCUGUUUCCCACCAUCUCCUGUCACAGGUUCCCACCCUUCUGUUGUCUCAUAUCUAAUGAUGAGCGGACUAUUGGGUGACCCAGAUCUUCUUACUCCUCACAUGGAAAAUGAAUAAUUUUGAUGUGUGGAUACGUUUAAUGCAUGUUAGUUUUCUAUGGUCAGUAAAGUGUUAUGACUCAUUCUACAGCCAUAUAACAUCAUGACGCAUUCCAAUGUAGGCAACUGUUACUAGUGGAAAAGCAAAGGGGUUGUGUUCAGCCACUGUGAAAGAUUUGACAGAAAUUGCUGAAACAAUUCAUCUGUGAAUGGAUAACAAGGCUUUAAAAAUUCAUUCUCAGUAUGACAUCAUUAUUUCAAUCCCAGACUAGCAGAACAGAUAAAUUUCCUAGUUUUUAAAUGUACAUUUCAUUUUGAUCUGUUUGUAUAGAUAGAGUUGCAUUAAUGAUUAAAGGCUCAUCUCCACAAUCCCAUAGCCAGAGGAAAAAUGAGAGGCAGGAGAACUACCUCUAACCUUGGGAGAAAUUGACACAAACUCAUGUCAUAGGAAGGUGAUUAUACCGUUGUCUAGGCAUGAAAGCCACUCAGGUGAGUAAAGGAGACAGCUUCUUUGCAUCAAUUUGCAGACACAAGUUUUGCUACCUACAUGGGUCUGAGACAACAUAGAAUGCAGGAGAAAAGCAUUUGAGUAUUGUACAAAACUUGAUCAGAUUAUGGUUCCUUGGUUUAAGGGAGGAACUGAAGGUGGGGAAUAGGAGGGAUCACAGUGGCUUGGGGAGGAAGAAGCAUGGGAAAAUAGAGGAAUUAGGGGAAAAAAGACACCAGUCACAUGUAAACAGAUUACUGGUUCAUGUACUUGUCUGGCCAUGCCCAAUAUCUGAUCGCCAUAGUUUGUCCUGUCUUAUUAAAAUCAAUUACUGACUGGUUCUGUGGUUAAGUGGGCUCUCACUUCUGUGUGACUGGAGGUGUAAUUGCCAACAAUUAGAGUCAGACCACAAGUCCUAUGGGCCCAUGUGAUUGUGAUGCCAUCAGAUGGAGUGAGUGAAGGUCUUGAGUGGCAGCAGCUGGCAGUGGAUACCACAAGUCAGAGAGCCAAGCAACUGGAGACAUGAGCUGGAUGCCCUAGAGAAGAAGAACAAACAUUAACUCAUAUUUGUCAAGUGAAGAGGAACAUCUGUACCACAGAAGGUCAUGUUUUAACAACCAGACUGCAUGGGAAGCACAUAGCAGAAUCCUUGAGGAUACUUCAAAGGAAGUGAAUGUGAUUUUCUUAUGUUAUUGGAUGAUUAUGCUCAGUAUUUCAUUUCAAGACAUAUUGUAACAUCCUUAUGGACACCUUGCCUUCCCUUGUGGAGGUGGUGUAUCUGUCUCAUUGUGAUGAAAUAAAACUUCUGUCAUUUUA